CCAGCACCCCGAGUGGUCGGGACGAUUUUUGGGCCUAAAGCAUCCGUAGCCGGUUUUACAAGUCCUCCGCUAAAUCCAACUGCUUAACAGAUGGGCCGCGGAGGAUACUAUAAGACUAGGAGGCAGGAGAGGCAAGCGGUACUCAGUGGGUAGGGGUAAAAUCCGUUGAUCCAUUGAAGACCACCAGUGGCGAAGGCGGCUUGCCAGAAUGCGCUCGACGGUGAGGGAUGAAAGCUGGGGGAGCAAACCGGAUUAGAUACCCGGGUAGUCCCAGCUGUAAACGAUGCAGACUCGGUGAUGGACUAGCUUUAUGCUAGUCCAGUGCCGCAGGGAAGCCGUUAAGUCUGCCGCCUGGGUAGUACGGUCGCAAGACUG
rnacentral:rRNA from 1 species